GAUGAACGCUAGCUACAGGCUUAACACAUGCAAGUCGAGGGGAAACGGCAUUAAGUGCUUGCACUUUUUGGACGUCGACCGGCGCACGGGUGAGUAACGCGUAUCCAACCUUCCCAUGACUAAGGGAUAACCUGCCGAAAGGCAGACUAAUACCUUAUGGUCUUCACUGACGGCAUCAGAUGUGAAGUAAAGAUUUAUCGGUUAUGGAUGGGGAUGCGUCUGAUUAGCUUGUUGGCGGGGUAACGGCCCACCAAGGCAACGAUCAGUAGGGGUUCUGAGAGGAAGGUCCCCCACAUUGGAACUGAGACACGGUCCAAACUCCUACGGGAGGCAGCAGUGAGGAAUAUUGGUCAAUGAGCGAGAGCCUGACCCAGCCAAGUAGCGUGCAGGAUGACGGCCCUAUGGGUUGUAAACUGCUUUUGUAUGGGGAUAAAGUCAAUCACGUGUGAUUGUUUGCAGGUACCAUACGAAUAAGGACCGGCUAAUUCCGUG
rnacentral:rRNA from 1 species